AGUGAACGCUGGCGGUAGGCCUAACACAUGCAAGUCGAACGGCAGCACAGUAAGAGCUUGCUCUUACGGGUGGCGAGUGGCGGACGGGUGAGGAAUACAUCGGAAUCUACUUUUUCGUGGGGGAUAACGUAGGGAAACUUACGCUAAUACCGCAUACGACCUACGGGUGAAAGCAGGGGAUCUUCGGACCUUGCGCGAUUGAAUGAGCCGAUGUCGGAUUAGCUAGUUGGCGGGGUAAAGGCCCACCAAGGCGACGAUCCGUAGCUGGUCUGGGAGGAUGAUCAGCCACACUGGAACUGGGACACGGUCCAGACUCCUACGGGAGGCAGCAGUGGGGAAUAUUGGACAAUGGGCGCAAGCCUGAUCCAGCCAUACCGCGUGGGUGAAGAAGGCCUUCGGGUUGUAAAGCCCUUUUGUUGGGAAAGAAAAGCAGCAGGUUAAUACCCCGCUGUUCUGACGGUACCCAAAGAAUAAGCACCGGCUAACUUCG
rnacentral:rRNA from 1 species